rnacentral:lncRNA from 1 species
UUUUUAUGUGUAUAGACCUUGGUAAUCGCAAGUAAUCUUGUCUAAUAUAUCUCCUCGGCGGAUUGCAACAUCCAGGAAAUGCAGCUAUGAGCCAAACAACUGUCGAUUAUUUAAUCGAAUAAUAAUAAUAAUAAUAUUUUCCUGAUAAGCACAAUAUAUAAAUCGGCACCAAAGUUAGUUAGACUUAUCUUCGACUGCUUGUCUAAAACACUAUCUACUGCUUCCUACGCUUCGAAACGCAAUCAAUUGUUCAAAAAUUAAAAAAUGUCAAAACUCAUUGUGUUGAUUGUUUUGAUUGCUGUUCUGGCAAAUAUAUUGAUUUCUUCAUCUGUCAUGGGCUGUCAAGGGAACGGUCAGGGUUGUAUAACUACCGCUUCAUGCUGCAGCGGUUUGAGAUGCGAUUAUAGUAAUCUUCACGGUGCCGGCGGGAAAUGCAUAUAAUGAAAUUACUUCUUUUACUAAAUGUUGAUGUUACUUAUGUAAUUAGUCACUAAAUAUUUUUCUAAUUAUUCACCUGUAACAGCAACUAUAAUUAAUGAAUUAAUCUGUCAAUAAAGAAUAACAGAACCAAUGUA